ACUCCCACUUCCCAGGCACCCUGGAGCCUGCCACUACUGGAGAGGUCUCCAAAUGACAUCCCAAGGACCUACCUCUGUCCUCUGUGAUCCCAUAGUGCUCUGUAAAUAUGAUCAGGAGGAAAAGGCCUCUCAGAGUGCGUGUUGCUGUGUACAAAGGAAUUUCCAUCAAUAAAAGCUGAUCUCUUCUCUCUGUCUGAUGUAUAUUCCACCCACCCCCACUUCCCUCUUCCAAUCCCCACCAGGGCCUUGCCUUCUUUCCUAUCCAGGGCUGGGAAUAGGGGCCGGGAAAGAGAGU
rnacentral:lncRNA from 1 species